AAUUGCAAUACUUCCUGGGUACAUUUCAGGUCUUAUAAAUGGUUCUCAGAAACAGAAACAUGGCUGCAAACAAAACAAAAUAAAACAAAGAAACAAACAAAAAGCAACAAAGCACAUUUUCCAAGUGCGUAGUCUAAUGUGGAAGGAUAGAAUGUUUCUCUGUAUAUAUUGGUGUAUAUGUAUUUUUGUAUGUAUCUGUUUAUAUAUGUCAAAUGUAAGAGAUAAUAAAUGCUGUGGGAAUUGGUAUGUGGGCAAGGAGACAGAGACAAAGUUUGGAGUUGAGACAAAGGAUGGACCAUCUAGAGACUGCCAUAUCUAGGGAUCCAUCCCAUAAUCAGCUUCCAAACGCUGACACCAUUGCAUACACUAGCAAGAUUUUGCUGAAAGGACCCAGAUAUAGCUGUCUCUUGUGAGACAAUGUGGGGGCCUAGCAAACAUAGAAGUGGAUGCUCACAGUCAGCUAUUGGAUGAAUCACAGGGCCCCCAAUGGAGGAGCUAGAGAAAGUACCCAAGGAGCUAAAGGAAUCUGCAAUCCUGUAUGUGGAACAACAAUAUGAACUAACCAGUACCCCCAGAGCUCAUGUCUCUAGCUGCAUAUGAAUCAGAAAAUGGUCUAGUCGGCCAUCAUUGGAAAGAGAG
rnacentral:lncRNA from 1 species